ACGAACGCUGGCGGCAUGCCUAACACAUGCAAGUCGAACGAGACCUUCGGGUCUAGUGGCGCACGGGUGCGUAACGCGUGGGAACCUGCCCUUAGGUUCGGAAUAACUCCCCGAAAGGGGUGCUAAUACCGGAUAAUGUCUUCGGACCAAAGAUUUAUCGCCUUUGGAUGGGCCCGCGUUGGAUUAGCUAGUUGGUAGGGUAAAAGCCUACCAAGGCGACGAUCCAUAGCUGGUCUGAGAGGAUGAUCAGCCACACUGGGACUGAGACACGGCCCAGACUCCUACGGGAGGCAGCGGUGGGGAAUAUUGGACAAUGGGCGAGAGCCUGAUCCAGCAAUGCCGCGUGAGUGAUGAAGGCCUUAGGGUUGUAAAGCUCUUUUACCCGGGAUGAUAAUGACAGUACCGGGAGAAUAAGCUCCGGCUAACUCCGUG
rnacentral:rRNA from 1 species